rnacentral:lncRNA from 1 species
CUAAAGGGGGCCCAGUGUCUGCACCCCACGCCUCGGGAAGGGGCAGCCUCUGCAGGGAGUUGCUGCUGGCGUGGAGUAAGCGGGAGCCAGGGAGGCUGGUCAACACCUGCGUGCACAGGACAGACCCACAGCAAAGAAUCUUCCACCCACGGGCUGGGGUUGGGGCACCUGUUCCGGGGAAGCCCAAGUCCCUCUGUGACAGCCUUUCCCUCAUGCUCAGACAACAGCAAGAAGCCAAUUAAGAGCUGCCAAGGUUGAGUUUCUUUUGGGUGCCAGUCACUGGGUCAGGUAUUCCACAUUCCUCCAUUAGACUCUUCCAAAGGGCCUGGCGAGACAGCCAAUACGGUUCGGCUGUGUCCCCACCCAAAUCCCAUCUUGAGUUGUAGCUCCCGUAAUUUCCCCAUGUUGUGGGAGGGACCCUGUGGGAGGUAAUUGAAUCACGGAGGUGGUUUCCCCCACACUGUUCUCGUGGUAGUGAAUAAAUCUCACGAGAUCUGAUGGUUUUAUCAGGGGAAACCCCCUUGGGCCUGACUCUCAUUCUGUCUCUUGUCUGCCACCACGUGAGAUGCGCCUUCUGCCUUCCGCCAUGAUUGUGAGGCCUCCCCAGACACGUGAAACUGGCCUCUUCCCCUUGGAAGCAAGAGCACCAUGUGGUAAGGACAUUCAUGCCAUCUGUAGACCCUCCUUGUCAGGUCCCAGCCUGUAGCCGGCAUUAAGCAGGAAGGCUGAGGCGGGAAGCCGGUGAGAUGCACCAGCCCCAGCCGUGUCGUCUGCACCUGCAGGACAGAAGCCCCCGGGUAAGAUCCCUCUGCUCACCCAGUCAAGCCGGAACCGUGAGAGGUCAUGGCGAAUGGCCACUGUAAAUAACCCUCAGGAUGACAAAUGCUGAUUUGCACUUGGAGUCAGGACUCCUGGAGAGUCCACCCUCUUCUCCCUAUGCUGGUGGUUCCCCAGCCCGGGAAUGUCACACUGCACCAACCCAACCUGGGAAGCUCUGUCCCUGACUGUAAUGUCUGAGCCAAAAGUCAGGACGCAUGAUCUGGUGUGAGUUUGUUGUGGCACGACUCAGUGAAAGAAAUGCCAUCUGGGAACUGCGAUAGGACAUGGGUUGGAAUCCCUGGGACAUGUAUUGGCUUUUUUUUUUUUGUUUUUUUAAAGGAAAGUUCGGCCGGGCGCGG